rnacentral:lncRNA from 1 species
CGUCGUUAUAUGUUAUUUGCCUUAAAAAAUUAAAAAAAAAAAAGCCGAUAAAAGGAAUAAAGGUAACGCGCAAUCCCUAACCACUCACAUUCCUUAUCUUCUUCUUCAAUUUUCACGAAUUACAAUCACAACGACUCACUCAGUCACACACACCAGCCCUAACCCUACCUAAGCUAUCAAACGCCAAUGCCGCUGCCGCUGUCAAAUCGAUUCAAGUGCUCCGGCGCUGAGUCUAGCCGUCCUUGAGCCGAUUUGCUUCCUUUUUCUGCCGCCGCUGUCAAUCUCUGCCAUUCUUGAGCCGAUUCACUUCCGCAAAACAGCUGCUGUCAUCUCUGCCGACAUUGCCUCUGUGUUCGUUCACUGUCAGAUGCAGGGUUGUUGUGGUGACACUGCCUCCGCUGUCAAGUCAGUUCAAAUUUUCUGGGUGAUAUCUUGAAAAUGUUGGUGAGAUUGUUGCCAAUGAUAUUCUAAAAUUUUGAAUUCAGGGUUAUUGUUUCACCACUGUGAGUUGCUUUCUCCAAUUUUGCAAUUCUUUCCUCUUAAUUUGCUUUGAAAUAUUUGCUCGUUGGAUUUAUUUCCUCUUCAUUUAUAAUCGAUUUGGUGAUUUUGUGUUGUGUAGCUUGUACCUUAGUCUCUCCUUUUCCUUUCAUAAUAUUAUAAAAUAUGUCGUGCACUUUGGCCUUUCGUUUCUUGAUUUUCUUGGUUAAUGAAUUUGGAAAAAGAGUGAAUUAUGGGUAAGGGGAUAGAAAAUCACAUUGACAGAAAAGAGGACUGAAAAAGACUGAUUUUUACUAAGGCUCAAUUUAUUAAAUAGAGCUUAUAACAGUAGAGUUUAUAUUAAUAGAGUUUUUGGAUAAAAAGUCAUUAGGUGUUUGGUUGUCAAUAAAAAAAGUAUUUUUGAACCAUUAAAAUGUGUGAUAUUUUUUAUAUUAGAUAUUUUUAAAAAAGCUCUAUAACCUCUACUCCUAAAAGUUCUAUUUGGUAUGGCUUUUGCUAGUAGAGGUAAAUUAGCUUAUUUAAGCUAAAAAAACUCUACUAAAAAAAUAAUCAAAUACCAUAAAAAUUUUUAAAAAGUGCUUACACGAUUAAAUAAACACUUAUGGCUCUUAAAUAAGCCAUACCAAACAGGCACUAAGUGGAGUUUACUUAUUUGUUAAAAAAAUAAAUUUUAAAUUAUUAAUGAUUUAAUUGUCUUAUGCUUAUUAUAUUGUUCGUAAAAUUUUUGUUACAAGUCCAGCCCAUGAACCUCUUUAUAUUUUAGCAUUUCUUUAUUUAUUUACGAAACGAAAACCAGCGUUCGGAUUCAAAAGGAACAAAACAGAAAAAGGAAGAAAGGAAACAAGAGGAUAACAGGACGUGAGAGAGGAGAAGAGGGAGAAAGAAGAGAAAGACAAGAGAGGCUAGGUGAAGGAUUUGGAUUUAAAGAGAGAGAAUUCAAUUUCAGAGCAAAAUAUUAAAUAUCUGGCUUUUUGAAUUUGUAAGCCUUCUUUCUCAGUUCACUUUAUUCUUUUAUUUUUCUUCAAAAUUCUUGUUUAAAUUAGCAUGCAUGUUGAUGUUGUUAAGUCAUUUCUAAAUUAACUUGCAUGCAUGAUUAAAAUUCUGUUUAUUUAGGUAUUAUGUCAUUGAAAUUAGUCUCUUUUGCCAUGCUUGUUUCAAGUUCCGAUUCUUAUUUGAAAAAAAAAAAAAAAUUCUAUGUUUGUUCCAUAAAUCUGUUUUGGGUAUUAAAGUUGAUACUACCUAGCAAAUUCUAAACUGUAAUGGCUGAUUUCUUCUCUUAUUUUUGUUUAAUCUAUUCAAAUUCAUGUAUAAAUUUACAGGUGUCAGAUAUAUGCCUAAUUAUCAUGUUUGUGUUAAAUUCAUUUUGGGUGAAUUUUUAUACUAUUUAAUCAACUUCAAAGUUACAUGGGUUUGGCCAAUUAUCACAUAAUCUCUUCUUUGACUAUUUGAUUAGAUUUUUGUUCAUGCGUGGCUUAAUUAAUUUCGAAAUCUUCUUACUUAUAAAGCAUUAAUAUCUUUUUCAAUUAAAUUCUCUAAAUUUUGCUGGCUGCCGUAUGAACAACUCUAAUUUUUUUUCCUUAAAUAAAUUUGUUUGAGUUCUAAUUAAUACUUUAAUUUAAUAGAUUAUAAUUUAAAUCUUGCAGCAGAUUACAAUUUAUGGUGCUAAUGGUAUUUUUUUUAUUUAAUCCAUUGUUUUGUUCUUCAGGCUAUUGAUCCUAAGACUUGCAUGGUUUUAUUCAAAAUGCUAAAUUGGGUUGUAUUCCAGUGGCUGUAUUUUGACGGGAAAGAAGUAUGUAGUGCUACACUUCUUUUUUAUUUUUUAUUUAUUUUAUUGUCAUUAUUAUUUAGCUUAACGGCAACCCAAUUUUCUCCCUACCCUUGUGAGUGUGGUCAAACCCCAAACAAAUGAAGAAGUUUUUUGGUUUUAUGUCUUAAAUAGAGUGCCUGUAAAUAUAAAAUCGAGAUUGAGCUAAUGAGUGAAAAUGGUGAUACUUGGAUUUUUUGAGGCUCUGCUUUUUUUUCUUUACUUUAAAAGCUAAUUUGUUUAGCUUUACCUUUGAUUUGAAUUUUUUGUUUCUGUUCUUUGCAGCCAACCAUUGAAAAUGGUGAUAAUCGGGCUCCAAUAAAUAUUGAUUUAAUAGGAACCACAUUGGUAAGCCUAGUUGCAAGACAAGAACUACUUUGCAAAGCAUGCUAUGUGUAUAAUUCUGAGCAUUAAGGAUUCAGUUUCUGAAGGGCGAGCUUGCUGGCUGGGUAUAAAUGUUCCAAGUGCCAAUCCCACCUUAUGUAAGCACAAAAUAGUCUCCAUUUCCUUUUUGGAUUAUAUUUGUUUGUAUAGUUAUAUGAUACUGGAUUUUAAUUUAAGAAUUUGUGCAGUACAUUUUUUGACUGUUAGGAGUUACUUUGAUCAAGGUUAUUUAAGUACUAAACUGUUAUAAUUGAGCUUGUAUAUGUAAAUGACAAUUAUAUCAAUGUGUAAUGUAAAUUGAAAUUUGCCAAUGUGGCUUCAAUUGUACAGUUUAGAAUGUGAAAACAACUAUCUAAAUUUUAAUUUAAAAAAACAAUUGAAG